UCACUUUCAUGUUAUAUGAUACAUUGAGUACAUGACCACUUGCCUACAUGGCGUGAAAUUUUCACCAUUCUAGCAUAUUGCAUAUAAAUAUCAUUUGCACAUGAAAGCUUCCUACAUAUGCACAUGUCAUGAACUACAAUUUUUCAAGCAUAGCAUGAAAAUAAUUUUUUUUACUACCCCAAAGGUUGGGAUGGAGAAUUAUCUUAAUGGAACUCCUCUAUUCACUUUGGAGUGAGUAAAAAUGGAGUGGGUUCUACGUUGGGUAUCGGCAUAGAGACAUCUGCAAUGGAAUGUCAUUCGCCUCAAGUGACUUUUGUACUCGAAGAGAAUUUGGCUCCCUCAUCGGAGUUGAAGGAAAAUGGUGUCAAACCAUUGGUGAUGGGACCCGCUGAAGUUGCGUAUAAAGGGUCACCAGAGGUGGAUACUGUGUCUGGGGAUAUUGUGGCUCCCCUAGUCUCUCUUCCUCCAAUAGCUGAUUGCAUUCUACCUAAAGUUAACUAGAUUCAGCAGUUCGUGAGAAUUUCACAUGAAGGAUGUGAAGACCAAUUUAAAGAACUAAUUACUUUGAUCGAGGCAAGCCACGCGCUUGAAACCAAAUCAAGUUUCAAGAAAAGUAGGGAGUUACAACGUCUUUUUUCGGGAAUCAACUACGAUGCUAAGGGUGGUAGCUCAUCUAGAGGGAAGUCUAAAGGCAGGGCAUUGUGAAGACGGGAAAACAAGGGGUUGGAGUGGGGUUUUUGGGUAGAGUUUUAGUUCUACGGGAAGCAAGGGGUUGGGGUCGGGCUUGGUGUAUUUUGGGGUGUUUUUCACUGGCUGUUUGAGUUAUUAGGGGUUUUCUAUUAUGGGCAAGGUGUUCUCUUGUAUACAUUCAAUAUACUUGGUUAUUCCUUUUGAUAUAUAUAUAUAUAUAAU